AAUGCAAUGACAUAUGUGAGUUGGAGCUGCUAUAAGAAUAGCUCAUCGCAUUUACUGAUGAACUUCAAAGGAGAUAUGAGCUUCAUGACACACUCCGAGAGUGAGUAGCAUUUUACUUCAAACAUAAGGACUGCUACAACAGGAACAACCAGAAACACUGCACAAAAGACUGAAGACAGUCUGCUGCAGGAGGAGGAGGGUUUGGCAUUGCAGCACAGGAAUGACCUGGUGAUGAGGCACUUGGCUGACAAGUCUGUGAAUGGGAUCAAAAUACCACUGAAUUCAGUGAGGGUCUUCCUAUCAGUCUAAGCCAGCUUGGAUCAGGCCUGUGGUACACAUCUGGAUGCAGUUUGUUCAUAUGUGCUUGUGCUAUCCCACCUUUUAUCCAGUAUCACUUUUUGAAGUGGUUAAGGAAUAAAUUUUACAUUUAAU
rnacentral:lncRNA from 1 species